GGCACAAACAAAAUUUUGACAAUAAAAUUAAUUCUCUGUUACGAUUGUCCAUAAAUAUUGCGGUAGAAGCAUUGUUAACGAUUAAAUAAUUUUAAAAAGAAGUCUGCUUGAUAAUUACAAUGAUUGUAGAAGAAAAAAAUAAUAUAAAGUUGAUGACUACUAAAGUACAGGGUUUAUAGGAAGUUUUUUUUAAAUAAAAUAGAUACUUUUUUUAAUUUUAUUAGUUUUUUAUUUAAUUAUCGGGUAUUAUCUAUGACAAUUAUGUGUGAAAAACGAUAUCUGUCAAAUGACCACCACGACCACGUUUACAGACAUCAAUUCGAAAAUCAAAAUUUUCGAUAACAUUUUGGCAUAUUUGCUCGUUUAUUUCAUCAAUUUCAUUUCUAAUGUUGUUCUUCAGGUCAUAAAUUGUUGCUGGUUUGCUUUAAACUUUACAAUAGAAAAAUGACUUGGUCCCAUAUUACUGAGAAUGAAUGUAAAAAAUGAACAGAUUGAAUGCUUGAAAAACGCACAGAAGCGAUAGAAAAUAAUGAUCUCGAACAAACUAAUAAAUCAAUUAAACAAAUUAAUCAAUUAGCUUGUUCUCAAGAAUACAAAACUAAUUUAUGUUCUUCCUGUGUAUUGUAUCUAACACGUGCAAUACCAGAACACCAUUUUUCCAGUAAAUAUUUGCACAAACGCUCACUCCCUUAAUUCCAAGAGAAGCAUCCCGUAUUCAUGUUUUCCAUACAAAACGAGCAACUUCUUUCAUUUUGUUUCCCCCUUUCCGCCUUAAUCUUUUGUCCGCAACUGUAAUUCGUCACUCAAUAAGUCGCUUCAGCUGCCUAUGGAACAGCGAAAUGAACCAGCAGCUUCGAGUACGGGACACAAUGGCUGCGCACCGUCGACCCGCAGGAUCGAACAGUGGUCAGGCGAGGGUUUGGGGUGGCACCGCGACGGAGGGCGAUGGGGGAUACGCUGGUUCUGGUAUAAACGUAGAAUAUUGUCGCCGCACAUCGAACCGAAAUCCCUAUCCGGGCGAGGAGAGUUGGCCACGGUCCAGCUCGGAGAGCCGCCAGUGGAUCGCUGCCAAAUCGCAGGUCCGGACUAUCCCACCGAUUCCACGAACAACCUACGUCCACCUCCACCGACGUCUACCUCAUCCUGCCCGCUCAUCUACCCGGCGCGGCGUUCCCUUCGGAGUUGCCCUCUCCAGAUGACGCUCGGCACGAGGGAAGAAAAAAUGUCGACGCUCGCUGGGGGACUAGUUUCAGGUUAGGUUGCAAUAGCCGGUUCACAAGUAAAAGAUACGCGGUAGCGUCAACGCCAUAUACAGGGUAUCCCAAGAAUGUUGGAAGUUCUUGAAAGGGGUGGUUCGGAGGGUGAUUCGAAAUAACUUUUUCCUUAGCGAAAAUGUUGUCCGAGGCUUCGUUGAGGAGAUAAUAUCAGAAAACCUCGACCAAUCGGAGCGCUAGUACGCAGGCGGAGCGCCAGCAGUAGUGUAGGCAACGCACUAGACGGCCGCAGUAGUGUAGGCUACGCACUAGACGGCCACAGUAGUGUAGGCUAUGCGCUAGACGGUCGCAGUAGUAUAGGCGACGCUCCACUGGCAUACUCGCGCUCUAAUUUGUCGGGAUUUUCUGUUAAUAUCUCCUUAAAGAAGCCGCGGACAACAUUUUCGCUGAGGAAAAUGUUUCAAAUUACCUCCCGAACAACCUCUUUCAAUGUGUUACAACAUUUUUGGAACACCCUGUAUAAUUCAGUGUGAUGGUUAGACAAUCAUCGCUGGUCCUUUUCGAAAGAAAAUACGCUUGACGAUAACCAGUGAUGCGAUCAAAUAUCUUUAACAAACGUCGAACCAGGUACGACCGGGCUUUUCAAUCACAAGGAAACUGCUGACGCAUUGGCCUUUUUUAGGGUUAUUGGCAACGUCACUUAGCAUCUAAUUAUGAAAAAAUCUCAAUCUCUUCAAUGUUGACACUUACAAAGCAAGCACUCAACCCGCCCCUAUUCGACUCUAACCUACUUUUCCAGGGUGGUGUAUUACACCUACCUACUUGCUGCUGCCCGUGAAAUAUUCGGUGUUGGAAAUAUUUAAUGUAUUAUUUAUAAAUAUAAUGUACAAUGUGUUAUUUACAAUGUAGAUGUAUUACAUGUAAAAAUUAAUUCUGUGCCUUUACAUUCAAUCAUUU